GAGCCACUGUGGUCCUUGUCCCAGUCAGGCUAACAUGUCCGUGCCACUGUGCCGUGAGGGGCGGGGGGACCAUUGAUGCACACAGGCAAGCUACAGAUGGGCCAGGGCAGAA